CUUAAAUUGUGUUCACUUCACAAAACAAGUAGCUUUAUGAUGUCACUGGUUUUCUUACACAAGCAGUUAUUUUGCACUGUUUCUUUUGACUAGCGGGCUGGUUUGGAUAUUUCAACUAAACGCUGACUUACAAACCAAGUUCCCAUCUGCCAUCACGAUGUUGCCAGUUUAUGAAGAGUAUCCAGUAGCAAAUUCAGUGCCACCAAUGUGACAGCAUGGAGCAUAGUGUGGCUUAUGGUGCAAUAAAGAACAAAUGGUAAAGCCUUUCAGGUCUGUGGAAUAUUCCAGCUCUGUAGUAAGUAAAGAAAAUGGAAAAAUGUUGAUGACAAUAUCUGACUUCAUGAGGAUUCAGCAAAAGAGGUAAAGGGAAAAUACAAAAUAGAGCUGCCAAUGUGACUGAGAUAUCCAUUGGUCCCAGAAGGC
rnacentral:lncRNA from 1 species